AGACUAGACUGCAGCCGCUUCAGCUGAAUGCAGGGUCAUGCUGUGCCUUUCUUUUACUCUAAACUGCCGUCUGCACAUUUAGGACAAUACUUAGUUUUCAAUUGUACAACAUUAUCUUGGAAGGCUGAAUGAUUCGAUGAUAAUAGCUGAGAAGUCCUUUAACGACGAUACAUUGUGAAUAAUUUGAUGAUCAUGAAAGAGAACAUCUUUGGAAUGAAUCUAAAAACAAACACACAUUCAAACACGCAUACAGACAACGAUUAUGAAACUUCCUGACCGCGGUUCAGGGAAGUCAAGGGAUUACUGCUGGCUACAUUCUGUUAGCAAAUGUUAACUACAAGUCACACACCCGGGCAACAUUCCACUGAAAAUAGAGAACAGCUUCUUUCCGACUGCAUUUUGUCAUUGGAGAGAACCCAUGGAAGGUCUCAUGGUGCUCCAGGAUCUCUGGGAUCUGGUAGAACAUCUCGUCCACCAGCAGGGGGUCCACGAUGCAGCUGCUGUCCGGCUGCUUCAGGGGCCGCAUGUAG